rnacentral:rRNA from 1 species
UACAGAGGGUGCAAGCGUUGUUCGGAAUUACUGGCGUAAAGCGCGUGUAGGCGGUCUGUUAAGUCUCGUGUGAAAGCCCUUGGCUCAACUGAGGAAGUGCACCCGAAACUGAGUGGCUAGAGUACGAAAGAGGGUCGCGGAAUUCCGGUGUAGCGGUGAAAUGCGUAGAGAUCGGGAGGAACAUCAGUGGCGAAGGCGGCCUUCGUCGGACCAGUACGUGACGCUGAGGCACGAAAGCGUGGG